rnacentral:lncRNA from 1 species
AGGCACAUUGAGAAAACAUCUAAUUUAAAGAGCAAGGUCAAAAAAUGGAAGACCUUGAUGAAUCAGAGCCAACUUUAAUAGCCUCAAUGGCCUUUCAAAUGACUUGCCCUAAUUAUAAGGAUAUUUGGGCAUACAUUGAAAAACCAAGCACUUCACAUGAAGAUCCUCAUAGCCUACCAAAAAUCCAAAAAGCAUUUGAUUCAUGUCAAAGAAUAAUAGAACUUGACAAAAGUCACUGUUCACAGUGUUUAUUACAUAUACAAGAAGUGGAAAAAGGAGAAAAUAAACUUUGUGGAAUGAAAGAGAAAUUAUCAGAAAUGGAAAAUAUGAAAUCUAAGUUAGAGCAGAGAGAAAUAAAAUGGAAACAAGAACUCUGCCACUUGAGGCAUGAUUUAAAAGAAAAAGAGAAGAAGUUAAGAGAUUUUGAUCAGCUUUUGGAAAAAAUGAAUAACCAGUUAAGAGAAAAAGAUGAGAAACAUAAUAAACAAAUUGAAUUGAACAAAGAAUUUCAACUGUCUUAUGGGACAUUGAAGGCAGAAUUAAAGACUGCAAGAAGUAACUCAAAUCAGACAUUUAAUAGAGCUUCAAAAAUUUUAGAGGAGUUGAAUGAAAAUAAUGAGUUUUCAUUAAUGAAGUUGAUGCAAUUCAGAAUUGAAAAGCUAGAAUCUCAAGUGUCUGAAAUCAAAAAUGA